GUCCCUUUCAGGGUGACAUAUGAAAAAAUUGAAAUGAUACAGAGAAGGGCUUUUUUGUCUUUGUCAAGGAUUUCACUGUAAUCCCUGGAGUGGUCAAUCACUUGAUUUGUGGAAAUUUUCCUUUUUUUGGAUAUUCUGAUGUUUUGACCCAGUCAGUGUCCAGGCCAAGAAUAUAAUAUUGUUCAGUUAGCAUAGCCCCUGCACAAGGAUGACACACUUUCCUGGAGUUGCAGAUCUACAGAUCUCAAUAUUUAU
rnacentral:snRNA from 1 species